AUUGAACGCUGGCGGCAUGCUUUACACAUGCAAGUCGAACGGUAACAGGCCGCAAGGUGCUGACGAGUGGCGGACGGGUGAGUAAUGCAUCGGAACGUGCCCAGCCGUGGGGGUUAAAUACUCGAAAGAGUAGCUAAUACCGCAUACGAUCUAUGGAUGAAAGCGGGGGACCGUAAGGCCUCGCGCGAUUGGAGCGGCCGAUGUCAGAUUAGGUAGUUGGUGGGGUAAAGGCUCACCAAGCCAACGAUCUGUAGCUGGUCUGAGAGGACGACCAGCCACACUGGGACUGAGACACGGCCCAGACUCCUACGGGAGGCAGCAGUGGGGAAUUUUGGACAAUGGGCGCAAGCCUGAUCCAGCAAUGCCGCGUGCAGGAAGAAGGCCUUCGGGUUGUAAACUGCUUUUGUACGGAACGAAACGGCUCUGGUUAAUACCCGGGGCUAAUGACGGUACCGUAAGAAUAAGCACCGGCUAACUACGUG
rnacentral:rRNA from 1 species